GAUUCCGUAGCGUAAUGGCUAACGCGUCAGACUUCGAAUCUGAAGAUUGUGGGUUCGAGUCCCAUCGGAAUCG
rfam:Parastrongyloides trichosuri strain KNP genome assembly, scaffold: PTRK_scaffold0000001